AAUUGUUUUUUUACCUUAUUACCCCCUUCAACUUUCUUUGUCCUCUCCAUGUGUCUUCAUCUCUGUUGAAAUUGCCGACCAAAAGUAAGCUAAAUUCUACAAUUCUCAAAUUUAAUUUCACAUUUUCAAUUGAUUUCAAGAAAAAAUGAUACCAAAUUGGCCAACACAAGUUGAUAUGAGCUCCAAUGAAGUGCUGAAUUUUUAUUUUACAUUUUCAAUUCAAGAAAAAUUGAUACAAGAAAUGAAGCGGUCGUAGAAUAAUUGGCCAACAAAAAUUGAUAUGAGCUCCAUUGAAGUGCUGAAUUUUUAUUUUACAUUUCAAUUCAAGAAAAAUUGAUACAAGAAAUAAAGUGGUCGGAGAAGGUGGAGAAUGGUGCGCGGUGGUCGUGCUGUGGCUGGUGGCUUAGGGCGGUAGAUUGGAGUGGCGAUUGGUGUUGGCUGUAAGAAGAGGUGAUGCGAUGUUGUUAUUGUGGGUUGCGGAUGGUUUAAUGGUGGGAAUGCGAGGUGGCUGUGAGUUGCAAUUUGCGGUGUAAAAUAUAAGAAGGUCCAUUCAAAUUGGGUCCUUGAGAAGUUGAUAAAAGAAAUGACCUCAAAGCAGCAUUUCGUGGUCCAUCCGUUGGUGUCGACCACGGUGAGGAAGGGGGUAGGACAGCAUAGCCUCCUGUCGAGGGGGAGGCGGGGGAAGAUGACGGCCGGACUUUAUGGGAGGUGGGUCACCGGUUUCUCCGGCAACUCUUUCUCUCUCCUCUCGAUAUAGUGCAAAAAUACAAGAUUGGACUCCACAAAGGAUCUAGCUCUUUUACUGAGGCACGUGCUGCUGGGUUCAGUGAAGAGAAUAACACUUUAGGUGAGAUGUGGGAGACUAUUUUCGAAAGUGAUCUUCUGAUGCUGCUGAUUUCUGACUCUGCUCAGGCUGACAACUAUGAAAAGAUUUUCUCCCACAUGAAACCAAACAUCAUUCUUAAGUUGUCUUAUAGAUUUCUUUUGGGGCAUCUGCAGUCUUUGGGAAAGGACUUUCCCAAGAAUUUAGUGUGAUUACUGUAUGCCCAAACGAAAUGGGGCCUUCUGUAAGGAGGUUGUAUGUCUAGGGUAAAGACGUCAAUGGUGCUGGAAUAAACUCUAGCUUUGUCGUUCACCCGGUUUGGGUCUUUUUUUUUAUUCUUGCUAAUGCAUUGUUGGUGGUCUGCCUUUCCUAAUGCUUGAAUUUGCACUCGCUAUAAUUAGAAUUUACUAUUUCUUUGCUUGUAGGAUGUCGAUGGUAAGGCUACAAAUGUAGUACUUGGCUGGUCAGUUGUACUAUUCUUUUCUAUCAAAGAAGAUAAAUUAUCUACAAUUUUUCAGUUAUUGUUAAUUUUAACUUCUAUCUAUAAUUGGUGACUCAGUUAAAUGGAUGAAUUUGAAAGGUCUACUCAAUUAAUAAGUAAUUAAAUGAGAGAUAGAAUAAUUCCAUGACAACAUUAGUUACUGCCUACUGAAGAACCAAAAGGUUGUUGAUGUAGGAGUAUGGUACAAAAUAACUACGGUGAAAGGUGGAAGAAAGAAAGAAGGAAUUCAAGGGAAUAAUCAAAGGUUAAAAGAAAGCAAGAAAGCAAGAGUACAAAUCGGAGCCAUUUACAAGCAGCAGGUUCCCGAAUUGACUCUCUUUUUACUUGUCCAACAACUGAAAUUAUAAUUUCUAUAUGUGAUGGCAAAUUUCCUAGAUAUCCUAUUACAUCAAAGACAAGAAUGUGUGCUAAAAAACGGGCGAUUUUGGGGAUUCCAAAACCUAAACGCCAAAAGCAAUCAAAGGCAGGUGCUGCAAUAAAUGUUUGCCAAUCGCUGCCUACUAAGUCCAUGGAGUUGUCUGCCCCUCAUUUUUGUGAUAAGUGUCGUGCCAAAAAGCUAGCCUUUGAGUCAUUGCAUUUUUUUGCUGUGAUGGUGAAGUUGAAAUUGCUUCUAAUGCUUUACCCCCUGAAUUAGAUAAACUUUAUACUUCUAAUGACGAUGAUUCAGAUCAUUUUCAGACAUAUUCUCGCCUUUAUAAUAACCUCGUUGCUUUUAGCUCAAUUGGUGGAUCAAUGGAUGGGGAUAUUCAUAAAGGAAUAUAUGCUUUGAAGGUUCAUGGCCAAAUUUAUCAUAAUAUUCCUGACCUGUUGCCUGAUAAUGAACCACUAAAAUAUAUACUACUUUACUUCUACGAUGCUAUGUUUGAGGCAGAAAAUAGAUAUAGUCUUUUUCCAAACUUACGUCCGAGUAUAAUUUCCUUGAGCAUGGCUAUUAUGCUUUUGAAUCCAUAUGCCAAGUUUUUCAUGUCUCUUCGAGAGAUUGAAGUCACUAAAGAGACUGAAAUCAGGCUUAAUAAACACCCCGUUCUUGAUCAACGUGUUUACAAUGCUCCGACGUCCGAAGAAGUAGCUGUGAUAUGGAGUGAAGGUACUUAAUUUAGCCAAAGCAACAGCCCACAUAUCAUUGUUCAUGGGAAAUCAAACAAGACCCAUAGGAUAUAUCAUUAUUAUGGAUGUUACGAUUCGCUACAAUACCCGCUUCUAUUUCCUUUAGGUGACUGUGGGUGGCAUCACGGUUUACUAAAAAUGUCUGACGGAAGACUGUCCCAGGUGGAAGACCUUUCAAAUAUUUUCAUUUCAGAUAAUGUUCAAGAGGCAUCUGAUUUGGUAACUGAAGAAGGUUCUGCUGCUGCUCGGGGAAAGAAGGGCAAGCUUAUUUCUUGCAGGGAGUACUAUGCAUACAAGUUUCAAAUGCAUGCUGGAAAUUUCAUCCUAUGGGCUGGGCGGCUGUUCUUGCAAUAUAUUGUAGACAUGUAUGUGAAGAUAGAGAAUACUCGGCUGGAUUUCUUUAGACAAAAUCAGUCACAAAUUAGAGCUGAGCUAUAUCAGGGUUUAGUAUAUACACGUGAAGGCAGUGAAGCAAAUGCAUCGAAUGUAGGUUAGUGUGUUAUCCUCCCUCCUUCCUUUUUUGGGGGGCCUCGUGAUAUGCAACGGUGUUAUCUCAAUGCUAUCGCUCUUGUACAACGUUUUGGGAAACCGGACUUAUUCAUAACAAUGACCUGCAACUCAAAUUGGCAAGAAAUCAAAGCAGAGCUGGCACACGGGGAAAAAGCACAAAACCGACUCGAUCUUCUCGCUUGUGUUUUUAGAGAAAAGCUUAUAGAACUGAAAAAAAUAAAAGAAGAACAAGGGUUUGGAGAGGUGGCUGCAUUCAUAUGUAGUUGAGCUCCAAAAACGUGGCUUGCCACAUGUCGUAUGCUCAUUAUUUUAAAGCCGGAAUUUAAGAUAAAGCAUCCAGAAUUAUUUGACAAGUACGUGUCUGCCAAAAUUCCUCCCCAUGAAAACCCACACUAACGAAAAGUGGUCUUAAACCAUAUGAUACAUGGCCCAUGUGGGAAGGAUAACCCUGAAUGCCCAUGCAUGAAGCAUAGAGGAAUGGAAGGGAAGUGCAAAUACGACUAACCUAAGUCUUGUUAUGAUAUUACAACAAGCCAUGAAUGUGGGUAUCCUGAAUACAGACGCUGGGACACAGGUGAGUCUAUUGUGAUUAGAUUGAAAAGGUUGGAAAACCGUUGGGUCGUUCCAUAUAACCCUUAUCUAUCUGCCUUAUUCGACUGCCACUUGAAUGUGUAGGUAUGUUCAACAAUUCAAGCAGUUAAGUACCUUUACAAAUACGUUUAUAAAGGACAUGAUCGGGUAUCAUAUAACGUACAAGCUUCAUCAGGCCCUGUAAAUAAGAUUGAGCAAUUUCAAGCAGGCCGUUGGGUAUCCCCUUGUGAAGCCGCAUGGAGAAUCUUUGGGUUUGACCUGUUUGAAAUGAGCCCCCCAGUAGUAACACUGCAAAUUCACCUGCCUAAUCAGGACAGUGUGAGUUUCUCUCCCAAUGAACAACUAGCCUCUGUUGUUUCAGAUAGGCACCGAGCCCGUACUUCAUUAACUGAGUUCUUUAGAAUGAACAACACAAUCCCAAACAUACCAAAAUACACAUAUGCAGAAUUUUGUGAGCAUUAUGUGUGGAAUCAUGCUACAAAAACAUGGUCUAAGCGGGCUAAUUUGCGAACUGCAAUAGGACGUCUGACUUUUGUGGCUCCAUCCGAAGGGGAAAGAUAUUUUCUCAGGCUGCUACUAAUCAAUGUAAGGGGACCAAAAUCCUUUGAAGAUUUACGAACGGUCAACGGCCAACUUUUUGCAACAUUUUAGAAAGCAGCCUUGAAACUUGGUCUUCUGGCAGAAGAUGACGCCGUUGAUAAAUGUAUGGAAGAGGCUGUUACUGCACAUAUGCCAAAAUCUUUGCGUAAAUUAUUUGCUACAAUAUUGAUUUUCGGAAUGCCAAGAGAUCCCCUAGCCCUUUGGCAGAAGUACUACAUUCAUUUGUCCGAAGAUAUCAGGCACCAAAAUCCAGGAAUGGAAGACAAAGUGAAGGCUCUUACUGUGGAAGAGGUAGAGCGUUUCUUAGAAGAAAUGGGGAAAAAUUUGGAAGAAUUUGGCCUAGGGGUGUUGAUAAGCAAUGUAGACUCCGGACUACGGUAAACAAAGGAUAUUGCUGAUGCACUCAAUGCCACAAUACCGGUUGAAUACAUUGAAGCCAUUGACAAGCUCAACCUUGCCCAACGCGAUGCCUUUGAUUGCAUCAUUAAACAUGUGCAGCUUAACAAACCCGGUUCAUUUUUCGUUGACGGUCCGGGAGGCAAUGGCAAGAUAUACCUUUACUGUGCAUUGUAUGCUGCUGUUAGAAAAAUGGGCAAAAUAGUUCUUCCAACAUCUACGUCCGGAAUUGCUGCCUCAAACAUAGUGACUGGGAGGACAGCCCAUUCGCAUUUUAAAAUCCCCCUUAAUCAUAUAGCUUCCAUGUCUUGCAAUGUAUCUAAAUAAAGCAGCUUAGCUGGUCUUCUACGAGAAAGCUCCUUGAUUAUUUGGGAUGAAGCAUCAAUGGCAAUCAAGGAAAAUGUAGAGUUAUUAGACUUAGGGAUUUAUGUGAUAGGCGUACAGCUUUUGGUGGCAAGGUUGUCGUCUUCGGUGGGGACCUUCGGCAAGUAUUGCCUGUGGUACCAAAAAAAUCACAAAAAGAAGUCGUACAAGCAAGCUUAGUCUCUUCUUAUCUAUGGCAUGGUUUCAAACGAAUACGCCUGAGUCAAAACAUGCGAGCCCGAACAGAUCCUGCAUUCUCUAAUUUCUUGCUUGCUUUAAGGGACGGUCGUAUGCAAACAGAAGAGAUAGCUAACAUUCAUCUACCAAGACAACUGGUUGUGCCAUUUGAGGAUGAAAACUACUCUCUGGACUAGCUUCUCAGCCAAAUAUUCCCGGAACUUACCGCAGGUGGUUUCAGUUCCAGCAUCUUCGCUGAAUGUGCAAUCUUGGCUCCCCUCAAUGAUGAUGUUGAUGAUAUAAAUACUUUGCUAAUUGCAAAACACCCUGGUCAGGCUGUAACCUACAAGAGUUUUGAUGUGUUAAUUGAUGAAAAUUGCAAAAUUUACAAAACUGAAUUCCUAAUCGCUUUAUGCCCCGGAGGAAUGAGUCCACAUGCAUGAAUGGGUUCUAAAGGAAAAUUGCCCCGUUAUUCUGCUGAGGAACCUUGUUCCAGCCUCUGGCUUAUGCAAUGGGACACGACUCAUAUGCAAAAGAUUCUACCCCAACAUGAUUGAGUGUGUAAUUGCAACUGGCCAUCAUACUGGUGAAUAUGUAUUUCUGCCACGCAUUGACUUGCGGCCCUGUGCCUCAACUAAUUACCCGUUCUAGUUCCAGCGAAAACAAUUCCCAAUCACUUUUUUUUGCUAUGACAAUCAACAAGGACUAGGGACAAACACUCACUCAAAUAGGGAUAUACCUUAGACGACCUUGCUUCUCUCAUGGACAAUUAUAUGUUUCCUUUUCUCGGGCCUGGAAUUCUAAACAUGUAAGGGUACUGACCAAGCCUACAACUGAAGAUCAGCAGGUGUACAGUGCAAAAAAUGUUAUUUCGUUUGAGAUCUUACUACGAUCAGGUGUUACACAGCAAUCUCCUUCAAGGAACAACUAAAAUAGGAACUUCGGUCUGCUUAUCUGCACGAUGUCCCCUAAACAAAAUUUCAGUCAAUUUAAAAUUUCAAAUGAAGGAGAAUAUUUCAAUAAACUUAGUUCAGCUUUAAAUUAAACAAAAUGUUAUUGUUUCUUGAAACAACCUAUUACUUCUUUUUCUGAAAAUGACAAGCAACUACUUCCUAAUUGGUGUGUGUUUUGUUAAGAUUUCUACUUGGAAUGAUAUCUACUUGUGGUUAUGAUGCAAAUCAGUUGAGAUGAUAAACACAAAUACUGGUAGCCCUACCUUUUUGGCAUAAAAUGUCGGGUUAGCUUUAGUUGCAGCUUGUGGAUUUGUUGUAUCAGAAGUAAGGUAAAAUCUGGGGAAAGGUAGGAAUUACAUGAGAGUAUAGCAACUACUCGAUCCUCUAAGCAAAGCAAUAGGCCAUUUGAUCCAAUAUUUGAGAGGAAAUUCUCUUAUGUUUUCUUAUUUCACAGUUUUCUUUCCCCGUAAAAUAUAUAGCUUCGUGCUUCUUUUCCCUCAAACGUUCUGUCAAAAUUUAAUAGUAUCAAUGAUCUUACGCUUACAAAUUUAAAAGCUAGAGCCUAAGCCCUAGAGGUUAUGAAGAUAAGAAACAUAUACUUAACCACUUGUAAUAUCUUCCUUUAUAUAUAACCAACUUCUCUAGCUGAAAAUUUGAACAUUUUGACACAUUUAUUGUUGAGGACGAUUUCAGUUUCAUUUCUCAGAAUGGACUCACUACUGUCAUAAUUCCUGUAGGAUGGUGGAUAGCCACUAACCCGACACCCCCUAAGCCUUUUGUGGGAGGGUCUUCGCAGGCCUUGGACAACGCCUUCACUUGGGCACAUUAUGUCUUUUUCUGUUUUUCCCUUCUAUGUUCUGUUCACAAUGAUUUACUAAUUUGUGAAUUAGGUACUUAUGGUGUUAUUUGCGUGUAUCGAAC